AGGAAUUGGCGGGGGAGCACCACAAGGGGUGAAGCCUGCGGUUCAAUUGGAGUCAACGCCAGAAAUCUUACCCGAAGAGACAGCAGAAUGAAGGUCAAGCCGGAGACUUUACCAGACAAGCUGAGAAGUGGUGCAUGGCCGUCGCCAGCUCGUGCCGUGAGAUGUCCUGUUAAGUCAGGUAACGAGCGAGAUCCCUGCCUCUAGUUGCCACCAUUACUCUCAGGAGUAGCGGGGCGAACUAGCGGGACCGCCGCAGUUAAUGCGGAGGAAGGAGGGGGCCACGGCAGGUCAGUAUGCCCUGAAACUUUGGGGCCACACGCGGGCUGCAAUGGUAGUAACAAUGGGUUCCGAACCCGAAAGGCGGAGGUAAUCCUCAAAUGCUACCACAGUUAUGAUUGAGGGCUGCAACUCGCCCUCAUGGAUAUGGAAUCCCUAGUAAUUGCGCGUCAUUAUCGCGCGGUGAAUACGUCCCUGCUCCUUGCACACACCGCCCGUC
rnacentral:rRNA from 1 species